UACGUAGGGAGCAAGCGUUGUCCGGAUUUAUUGGGCGUAAAGAGCGUGUAGGCGGCCGUACAGGUCAGCUGUGAAAACUCGAGGCUCAACCUCGAGACGUCGGUUGAAACCGUACGGCUAGAGUCCGGAAGAGGAGAGUGGAAUUCCCGGUGUAGCGGUGAAAUGCGCAGAUAUCGGGAAGAACACCCGUGGCGAAAGCGGCUCACUGGACCACAACUGACGCUGAUGCACGAAAGCCAGGGGAGCGAACGGG
rnacentral:rRNA from 1 species